CUUACAUUUCUUAUGAGCUUUUUAAUUGCCACAAAUCUGCCUACCAAUGAGGACAACUUCUUAGCCUUCUUUAUAUUGAUUUUAAUAUUGGUCUUACUCUUUUGGUUGUAUGCAGCAAUGGGAAAUGAGAAGUCAAAUAGCUACUGGGAAGCAGAACUGCCUCCAAAUGACGACAAAAAUCUUUUGGUGGGCUCUAGUUGAUGAAUAGCUUGGAUCCAUCACAUGUGUUGCGAAUCACCUUAGCACCCAUCUUCUACGUAACAUCGAUCUGUUUGUUUGUGGUCUAAACACCUUGGUCUUAUUGGAUGUCUUUCAUUUAGCAAUACGAGAUUUCUUGUGCAUCAACUAAAGCUUUGUGUUUUCCUGAAUUGUGCAUGGUAAAAUGGGAUUUCACUAACUUGUUAGCAUGCCUGACUUGAGCUGACAAAACAGGUUUCUUCUAAUUCAAAAGCAGAGCCGGUCCCGGUGCAGGCUGUUUCAACACAAAAAGUGCAACCUACACCCAAUAUCCCAUCUCCAAAGGUUGUUGAAAUCAUUGACCAGUAUGAGAUAGUGCAUUCCAGAGAGCUCAAGAGGCAAUAAGCUUACAUUUAUACAGGACCUGAAAAUGGACAAAACCUGCACCAGGACAGUAACGAUGGGGUGUUAAGAAGCCUCAAAUCAUAAAAAAUUCUGUCACGAUCUUGUCGAGUGCAGGUCUUGGGAUGGCCAUGUUCAGUCUCGGUAAGAUCAUUGAUAUGCUCAUCAUGUUCAGUCUCGGUAAGAUCAUUGAUAUGCUCAUUCGACGCGAGGGGUGUCAGCAAGAAAUAUGACAGUCCCGAACAAAUUCUUGAAGAAUUCUUUCAUUUAAGACUUGAGUUCUAUGUAAAGAGAAAGAAAGUAAUGUUGGAUAAUCUUGAGAAGAAAGAAACCCAGGUGGAGGAGGUGACAGGACAGAUGGAGGGUAGGGCAGGAAAGCCUCUCGCUAAGCUUCUAGACAAGUUGGAAAGAACCAAAGAAAGAACAACACCAAGAAAACCAAUGAAGCAGAUACUGUUGUUGAAUCUGUAGCAUUAGUUAGUACUACAGCUAAAACUGGACAUGUUUCCAAGGGGGCAAAACCCAAAGGCAGGGGAGCUCCGAAGAAGGCUCCUGCUAGAAAGCAGAAAAUGCCGACUGCCGUUGAUAGUGAAGAGGAAGAUGAUGAGGUGCUCGAGCUGAAAGAAUGAAUGAUGAGGUGCUCGAGCUAAAAGAAUGAAUGAUUGUGUU